rnacentral:rRNA from 1 species
GAUCCUGGCUCAGGAUGAACGCUAGCUACAGGCUUAACACAUGCAAGUCGAGGGGCAGCAUCAUCAAAGCUUGCUUUGAUGGAUGGCGACCGGCGCACGGGUGAGUAACACGUAUCCAACCUGCCGACUAACACUGGGAUAGCCUUUCGAAAGAAAGAUUAAUACCGGAUGGCAUAGUCUUCCCGCAUGGGAUGAUUAUUAAAGAAUUUCGGUUGUCGAUGGGGAUGCGUUCCA